AUUGAACGCUGGCGGCGUGCCUAACACAUGCAAGUCGAACGCGAAAGUUUCUUCGGAAAUGAGUAGAGUGGCGCACGGGUGAGUAACGCGUGGAUAAUCUACCUACUGGUACGGGACAACAAUUGGAAACGACUGCUAAUACCGUAUACGCUGGUAACGGGAAAGGGGGCCUCUUCUUGAAAGCUCUCGCCAGUAGAUGAGUCCGCGUUUCAUUAGCUAGACGGUGGGGUAACGGCCUACCGUGGCAACGAUGAAUAGCAGGCCUGAGAGGGUGGCCUGCCACACUGGGACUGGAACACGGCCCAGACUCCUACGGGAGGCAGCAGUGGGGAAUAUUGCGCAAUGGACGAAAGUCUGACGCAGCGACGCCGCGUGGAGGAUGAAGGUUUUCGGAUCGUAAACUCCUGUCAAGAGGGAAGAAACCUAUUAUGAAUAAUACUCAUAGUAAUUGACGGUACCUCUAGAGGAAGCACCGGCUAAUUCAGUGCCAGCAGCCGCGGUAAUACUGAAGGUGCAAGCGUUAAUCGGAAUCACUGGGCGUAAAGCGCUCGUAGGUGGCUUUGUAAGUCAGGUGUGAAAGCCCACGGCUCAACCGUGGAAUUGCACUUGAUACUGC
rnacentral:rRNA from 1 species